UCCCCUUUACCUAGUUGAUCCACCCUUGGAGUGACACCACUCCCACUGGUCCACUCUCACCACACCUAUUUGGGUCUAUGGCAGGGCAAUUGGUUGAAACAGAGAAUCUUUCCUGGAUCUUCGGUAGCCUGAAAAGUCUGAAACCCAAUGCAAAUGGGACACAAAAAUUUCAGAGACAGUACGGCCGAGCAUUGCAGAGUUGCUUCUAUUGGCGCUGUGUUUACGUUACUUCUGGUGAACAGCAUUAAAACUGUAUUAACAUGUGAUUCUAUUGGCAGAAAUCCGUUGCUGCUAUUGAUGCAACCCACUGGAAUUACCACCACGAUUCAUCAGAGCAGACUGGGCAGCUGCAUUGGUGCUUAGCCUAACUAUGCUGAAGUGCAAGGAGCACAUUGGGUGCAAGUUCCUUUCCAUGAAUGGUGUUAAUUCUUGCAACAUUUGCCUUCAUUUUAGCUCGACUGCACUAAAUGAAACUUUAUGUCCUUUGUAUAUUUAUCCAUAUUUUUCCCCAAGGGGUCCUUGUGACAUUGGGGUCCUUGGGCAAAUGGACUUAAGACCUGCCUUGAGUUCAAGGCUAAAUAAUCUUCUCGGAUUCUUGUAUAACCAGUAAAAACAGCACGAACAUGUGGGAGCACCGCAGAGAAGCCGCCCAUAUUGUACCUUAUUACAGUGGGGGCUCUUAACCCACAUCUUUAUGGAACAGAAAUCUUCCUGUGCUUUUUGAACUGGUUUUGUCCACGCUCCAUUUGUAUCAGCAAAAAGCUAUAGGAAGGUAUUAAUCUACUUAACAUUUUUAAGUACAUCAUCCAAAAGAUUUUUAUUUUAAUCUUACAUAUGCUCUGCAGAGUUACUGGCAAAAAAAAAAAAAACAAAACUGUACAUUUUCUUCAUUUCAUCCUUUCAACAUCAAAUGGUAAGCAGCAAAAAUUGGAUCAGACUUCAAAGGCCGCACUGCGCUCCAAGUCACAGAGAGACUCCUCCAUUUCACAUAUUGAAUUCGAGCAGGAUAUCAAAGUGCUACCAAAGAACCUCAGGUCCUUGCUAAAAUAGAGGCUCUAACAUCUGUAGAGAAGCAAAGUGCACUUGGAAACCACCUCAGGGAGCAGCCAUUGCUUAUUCUCAGCAGCAGAUUUCCAGCCUUUUGAUUUUCUCAUUGACUGUACCUCCCUGUCUCUGUGCAGAACCGAAGUUCCUAGUAAGCAGGCUUUUGUCCCAGGGACUUCAAAACCUAACUAACGGUUUCAUGUUCCGUAUCUUCAGCCAAACAGCCAUGAACACAUUGCAGAACAGUGGGCUGAGGAAUGCCCGGGCACCAAAGAACAAUGGCGGAUUAUUCUACAGCCCUGUACGUAACACUACCUUAUCUGGCUGCCGGGCCCUGAUGCUCGAGUCUGUCAAAUGGCCUUUGUUGCUGCUCCCCAGCCUGAAAGUUAAAAAACACAAAAGAAAUAGAAGUGUGAUAUCAACACGGUAAUAGAAUAAAAACACUAUUAAAAAAAGUAACUGAUUCUGU